GAGCCCCUUUUCCCCUCUGAAUAAGAUAAAGAGCCCAAGGGUGGAAGUGCUUGGUCUAACAGAAACAGACUAACUCCAGGGUGCUGAAAACAGUCUGAAGUUUACCAGGAGUGCAGGCGCUGUUAUCUAGCAACAGACCACAGUGAAACGGUACAGGAAAUCUCUGAUUGCUGACUUCUAGUACAUGCACUGAUGGAAUGACGGCUUCAAAAGGCACUAUGAAAGAAAACCAGCGCUGUCUGUCUCUUCUUCAUCUCAGGAGGCCGGAAGAUUUGGAUACUCUGACUGAAUGAGUGUCAUUGUGGCUGGAUGCAGUCCUUUGAGAUGCUAAUGUCUCUGCAGACAGAUGCCACCAAUUACCAGAUUUGCUGUGGACUGACUGCACCUGCCCUCAGCGCUGCAUGCUGUUUUCUGUCACUCACCUCGUAACGCUGACAGCGCUGCGCUAUGGGCUGCUAAUUGCUCCGUGCUCUGUUCACGCUAAUUGUCUAUAACUCAAUGGCUUGUUGUCAUUAAUUCCUUGUAAAAUGUGUCAUAAAUGCGGAAGCUUAGGAACAAAUGUUAUGAGUGUUUGUUUGCCAUUUGUAAUUCAUGGCUUCUGUCUUUCAAUAAGGCUUCUGU